UAGGGAAUUUUGCACAAUGGGGGAAACCCUGAUGCAGCGACGCCGCGUGAUUUAGAAGGCCUUCGGGUUGUAAAAAUCUUUUCUAUGGGAAGAAAAUGACAGUACCAUAGGAAUAAGGACCGGCUAAUUACGUGCCAGCAGCCGCGGUAAUACGUAAGGUCCGAGCGUUGUCCGGAAUCAUUGGGCGUAAAGGGUACGUAGGCGGGUAAGCAAGUUAGAAGUGAAAUCCUGUAGCUCAACUACAGUAAGCUUUUAAAACUGCUCAUCUUGAGAUAUGGAAGGGAAAGUGGAAUUCCUAGUGUAGCGGUGAAAUGCGCAGAUAUUAGGAGGAAUACCGGUGGCGAAGGCGACUUUCUGGCCAUAAUCUGACGCUGAGGUACGAAAGCGUGGGUAGCAAACAGG
rnacentral:rRNA from 1 species